AAAGAAGAAGAAGUUGACUUUGGCUCUCCAAAUUUUUCCUGGAAACAAGUUUAAAACAGACCAAAUUCGUGUAUUUUUUGCACACAACAUAUUUUUCAGAGUUACACUACACAUUGCAACUCAUAAGUAGACCAAAGUACUUACAGAAUAGAUUUUUGAAAUCAGUCAAUCUGAUAAACAAAUAUCCCGCCAGUUAGAUCACAUGAUUCAAUCAGCUAAAAGGUGACUUCCGGUGUAAACAAAGCACUCUCAGUAAAAGGCCAUAUAUGUUUCAUCAUUACUAACAUUGCUCAUUUGUGUACAUAUUGUGAACCAGGGAUGCAACUGGGUACGAAGAUAACCUCAUCUAUAGCUAAUACUUGUAUCAUAUUGUGUGUCUUCACAGGUCCUGUCCAACCACUACGCCAGUAAGUCACUUUUCAACAUGUUUCAUCGGCAGUGUAGUAUUCACUCUCACUCGCUC
rnacentral:lncRNA from 1 species